rnacentral:rRNA from 1 species
AUGGAGUCGUCGUCGGUGGCGGUGGUGGCGGUGCCGUUCCCGAUGCAGGGCCACCUGAACCAGCUGCUGCACCUGUCGCUGCAGCUCGCGUCCGAGUCUCACGGGCUGGACCUGCACUACGCGGCGCCCGCGGCGCACGUCCACUAGGCGCGCGCGCGCGUGCACGGCUGGGACGCGGAGGCGCUCCGCUACGUCCACUUCCACGAGCUCGAGAUCCCCGCGUUCGCCGCCCCGCCCCCCGACCCGGACGCCGCCUCGCCCUUCCCCACCCACAUCAUGCCCAUGUUCGAGGCCUACGUCGCCGGCGUGGCCGCCCCGCUCGCCGCGCUCCUCCGGGAGCUCUCCGCAUCCCGCCGCCGCGUGGUCGUCCUGCACGACGUCCUCAACGCCUUCGCCGCCGUCGAGGCGGAGCGGCUGCCCAACGGGCAGUCCUCCGGGCUCUACUGCGGCGCCGUGUUGUACAUGGUCGGCAUGGUGGACGCCGGGCACCGCCUCCUGCGGGACAGGGGCCUCGAGUACGCCCCCAUGGACAGGUUCGUGUCCAGGGAGUUCAUGGAGUGCGCCAAGAGACAGUACAUCAUGGCGCAGUCGGUCUCGCGCGACGGUGGCAUGAUCGCCAACACGUGCAGCGCGCUCGAGGGCGAGUUCGUCGACGCCUUCGCCCAGACCCUCGCCGCCGUCCGCCAGAGGAUCUUCGCUGUCUGGCCGUUGAAUCCUCUGCUGGAGCUGGAGCUGGACCAGAUCGACGCGAAGCAGGGGCGGCACGAGUGCCUGGACUGGCUCGACAAGGAGCCGGCGGCGUCGGCGCUCUACGUGUCGUUCGGCUCGAGGUCCUCACUCCGAGGUUCGCAGGUCGCGGAGCUCGCCGCAGCAAGCAGCGCUUCAUCUGGAUGCUGCGCGACGCCGACCGCGGCAGCGUGUCCACGGCCGACGCCUACAGCUUUGCAUCCAUCCAUCCGUGUGCUUUGCUUUGCUUGCUGGAGUGGUAGUAAUCGAGGCGCUGGUUUGCUUUGA